rnacentral:rRNA from 1 species
UGAGCAAUCUGCCCUUCUCUUCGGAAUAAGCGUUGGAAACGACGUCUAAUGCCGAAUACGACCUCCUUUCGCAUGAUCGGAGGUGGAAAGCUCCGGCGGAGAAGGAUGAGCUCGCGGCCUAUCAGCUAGUUGGUGUGGGUAAUGGCCCACCAAGGCGACGACGGGUAGCCGGCCCGAGAGGGUGACCGGCCACACUGGGACUGAGACACGGCCCAGACUCCUACGGGAGGCAGCAGG